rnacentral:rRNA from 1 species
UACGGAGGAUCCGAGCGUUAUCCGGAUUUACUGGGCGUAAAGGGAGCGUAGGCGGACUUUUAAGUGAGAUGUGAAAUACCCGGGCUCAACUUGGGUGCUGCAUUUCAAACUGGAAGUCUAGAGUGCAGGAGAGGAGAAUGGAAUUCCUAGUGUAGCGGUGAAAUGCGUAGAGAUUAGGAAGAACACCAGUGGCGAAGGCGACUCUCUGGACUGUAACUGACGCUGAGGCUCGAAAGCGUGGGGAGCAAACAGGAUUAGAUACCCU